ACUAAAAGAAAAUGGAAUGGUGGAGGUCCGAGAUCGUGUCCGUGAGGAGAUUUCGAAGUAUCGGGAAGCUACAAAGAGGCUAGGUUUUUGAAAUAGUAGAAAAGAAAAUGGAUUAGCACAGAAAUUUAGAGUAGUUCGGCAAAGGUACCUACAUCCACUUUGAAGGCUAUCAAUUCAUUUCUUUUGAGGGAUUACAAGAUAUGAAGAAUACAGAUAAGUACUCAAACUUUUCCUUUUAUAAAGUGGUUAAACCAACUAAGAGUUUGUUAGAAACUGAUUUAUAACUAAUUUAGUUUCUAACUUGAACUGAUUUUGAACAGAUUCAGCAAGGAAGUUGAGUUCAAAGAUAAUAUUUCUAACAAAUUCUCCCUCUUGAACGAAGAACAUCCUUGAUAGUCUUCUUUUCAGCUUCGCGAAGUUUUCGAAACUGUGUACUUGCUUGAAGUUUGGUUAAGGCACUGCUGAGAGCUCCAACAGGAGUAGCAGGGCCAUCAAGAGUAGCAGUCGGCAAUGAGACUUGCUUGUUGUCAUUUAAAAUAACG